rnacentral:lncRNA from 1 species
GGAGGGGUAUGCGCCUCAAGGUUCAUGAACCCUAGCUAGCUACUCAUUCUAUCUUCGAUAUUCUGCAGCAAUCAGAUGCGGACUACGCUAAUUCGCUCCUUGUGCUUGCUUUACCAGUAGCAGCAGCCGCAGUGUGGGCAGAGGCGAUAGGCUACGACCAUCAGCACGAUGAGGGGGAGGCAGGUUGCUGCUACUGCCAUAUGCGGGUCUGUCUCCUCUUCAGCUUCAGCUUCAAUAUCUAUUGCACGGACUGAUGUUUUCAAUGUGUCAUGGUAACCGAUGUUAAUCAACCAUGUAAUUUUUUAUCUGAACCGAAGCUUUAGCUAGUUCAUUAGGCAAGUCGGGACCUACUCCACAAAUACUAAGCAAACCUAAUCUGAAAUUAAACUGCAGUCCGUAAGACAGAAGCAUGCAUCACAUGUUAUCAUGGAUUUAAUUGCUUGAAGCUUGGGGGGUUUUGAUCGAAGUUGAGUUUAAUCCUGCAACUUUGUUUAACUAGAUCAUGCUGGUGUUAAGGCUGGGAAUCAUAAUAUCGAUGGCCUGGCCAUGUUUUUAGGAGUUGAAUCGAAGAUACUCUGUGUUGUUGCACAAACUGAGUCAGAUCAAUGUUCAGAGGUAAUAUGUUUCUGCCCGUAAUUUUCAUUGACUGUCAGCAUGUUCCUUUUUUAUUCAGUACUCUGUAUAUCACGGGGGUAUGACUAUAAUAAGGAUAUAUGGCUGAUGCAUUUUGAACUUCUCUGUUCCUUGGGACAGAACAGAGCUGAUAAAUUAUCUAUUCUUUUUGGCUUUAGUAGUACGAACAGAAAACAGGCAGUAAUAAACGGAGGGAGUACUAUUUUGUUAAUGAAACGGGGUCAUUAUUACGCAUUUUAUCCAACACUAAUGUGCCCUAAAAUUACAGAUCGAUUCAUUCAUCUCAUACCUUUUUGUGAGAGAGUCUGAUGGAUUUCAGUGAGCUUUGCCAAGGUUUUAUCCUCUGUUCCUUGGUACAUUCUUUUACUAUACAACAAUUGGUGUGAUUUUUUUUGUUUAGCUGUACGUUGUAGGAACACAGAACCUGGUUAUUUCAUUAUAUUCGUUGUCUAAUUUAUUUUCUACUACGAGGGAUCAAGUUCAGUAAUUUCUUUUAUCUUCUUUCUUCCUCACAAUUUUACAUUUACUCACUGAGCAGUAAAGGUCUUGGACCUGAAAUUCUUGUAGUACUAAUUUAACAUAAUUGUUCUUCGAGAAAAUGGCUUGUGAAGGUCUUGGACACUGCAAAAAUGGUUUGUCUUGGGUCUUAAUCAUAUUUUCUCUGAACAUUCUGAGCUUGACGUGCUCCUAAUUUACUCAAUGAAUUCAUCCAGGUUGCAGUCCUCAUAGGUUGUCCUGGCGAACUCCAAGACGACGUCGAAGAAAGACUCCGGUUGUACGUCUUGCCCAUAAGGAGGUAAAUACAUAUUCCAAACUCUUCUGUCAUUGCCUAACUUGUUUGUUAGCAGCAAUAUAUAAAACUAUAUAAACUGAACUGCCAACACAUUAUAGCUAAUAUUUUAGUUUGAAAUAUCUGCCAUGCUAUUUUAACAUUGGAAGUUCAAGAACAAUAUACAUAUUCGUGAGCAUGAUGUAUAUGUCUAUGAGCGAAAUAUUUCAAAUUGUAUGUAUAUGUCAGAGUUGCGCAUGUAACUGAGAAAACAGAUCGCUGCUUGUCUACUCAUGUAAUCGAAACUUGAUUUUGUGUUCUACUUGAUGAAUAUGAAAUGAUCUGUCCAUACUUUGUUUUAAAAUGACGUUGACCUUUUUAUGUUUGGACGAUAAAAUGUCGCAUUUGUACAACUAAUGUCAUUCCUCUACAUAUUCAUUUGGGAGUUGUCUGUUAUGUAGUGUAAUUCUUUGUGUUUUGGAUUCUUUGCAGGUUUGGCAGUUAGUUCGUGUUACUAUCGAUCGAGGAUUUUUAGCAGGAAUUACUUGGGUCUGAAAAGCUUCCUGGAAGUGGUGGUGUAGUGUUGGAGAUUAAAAUUAUGUAGUAGUGCAGUUUCAAUGAUGUCAUGUUACUUGAUUUUUAUUAAAUGCUUAUGCUUACAACACCUUGUAAAUAUCCUUGUGAUGUUUUGAUAUUAAUUUUGCUUUUUGAAAUCAGAUCAGAUUUUUGGAAAUUUGUAUUGUCUUGUUGAAUGAAUAUAAUUGCAUGUCUUGUUGUAAAAUAUGAUUGAGAAGAUGAGCUGGGGUGAA